UACGGGGGGAGCAAGCGUUGUUCGGAUUUACUGGGCGUAAAGGGCGCGUAGGCGGCAUGACAAGUCACUUGUGAAAUCUCUGGGCUUAACCCAGAACGGCCAAGUGAUACUGUCGCGCUAGAGUGCGGAAGGGGCAAUCGGAAUUCUUGGUGUAGCGGUGAAAUGCGUAGAUAUCAAGAGGAACACCUGAGGUGAAGACGGGUUGCUGGGCCGACACUGACGCUGAGUGCGCGAAAGCUAGGGGAGCAAACAGG
rnacentral:rRNA from 1 species